rnacentral:lncRNA from 1 species
AUUGCUUCUAUCAUAUGUAAAAAAACAACUGGUUCAUGGUAGCUAAAACUCAAAGUAUACUAAGGUGAUGUUUGGAUAUUCUUUAAAAAGUGAUAUAUAGUUGUGGUAAACUCUGAUUUAUCAAGAAAGCAAUAGAUAAAAAGACUAAAUGUUGCGAAUAAUGAAAUCCAAACAUCCAUAAAAGUUGAUGAACCAGAAUGAUUUAUGCAAAUUUUGCUCACCUCAUCUAUAAUGCAAUAGCCUUUCACGUCACUCAUCAACUCCGUGUAGACGCUUAUUCCACUAACAAUUUCUAGUGCCACAACUCCAAAACCAUAAACGUCAGCCUUAGGAGUCAAGUAACCACGAGUGGCAUACUCUGGAGCCAUAUAAAACCUUGAGAAGGAAAAAAAAAAAAAAAAAGAUAAACAUGAAACCAAAGCAUAGAUAUCGAUGUGGACCCAUUUACUUAUAAAUAAGUCGAUUUGGGUCGUGUUUUUAUCUAGAACAGGUAAAACCAACUUUAGUCUUUUUUCCGAAAUUUGGUGGCUUAAAAUCUGGACAAAACAAGGCAACAUUAAGUGACGUUAGAACCUUAUACUCUCUUUAGAGUUUAGAUCAAAUAUGGUUAGAAACUUAUCGUCUUCAUUUACGUAGUGUUGGUGAGAAAUGAAUAAUGUGGUUCAAACGCUAUGCAGUUAAUGCAGUAAAAUAUCGGGGAUAUCCGAUAUUUGAGAUAUAGGUUAUCUCGGUGAGAUAUCAGUAAUUUUAAUAUAAUGCAGAAUUUAUAUAUAUAGCAAUUUAACACUAAUAAUUCAAUGAUAUGUCGGUUAAAUGGGGGGUUAUACCUGUCAAUAUCGCCGAUAUUGGAUAUCGGUACCCAUAUUCUGACCGUAUUUGACCCCACUAUUUUCCUAGGGGACACAUAUGAUCAAUAUAUCACCAAAAUAUUAACUGCAUAGUUCAAACGCCUAGUAAAUUUGAUCUUUAAAGUCAGAAAACCUCCCUCUUCUAGUUUUAAGAUUAGAGAUAUGAAACUGGUGUGUGAUAAACGAAGAAUUUCUUACUUGGCUCAACUGAUAUG